rnacentral:rRNA from 1 species
UCGAGGGGCAGCAUGGGGGAGUAGCAAUACUCUCUGAUGGCGACCCGUGCAAGGGUGCGUAACGCGUGAGCAACUUGCCCUCAUCAGGGGAAUAAUCGCUGGAAACGGCGUCUAAUGCCCCAUGGUGAUGUCCUCAGGCAUCUGAGGUCAUCUAAAGAUCCGUCGGAUGGGGAUAGGCUCGCGUGACAUUAGCUAGACGGCGGGGUAACGGCCCACCGUGGCGACGAUGUCUAGGGGUUCUGAGAGGAAGGUCCCCCACACUGGAACUGAGACACGGUCCAGACUCCUACGGGAGGCAGCAGUGAGGAAUAUUGGUCAAUGGCCGGAAGGCUGAACCAGCCAUGCCGCGUGAAGGUCAGUGCCCUAUGGGCGUUAAACUUCUUUUGUGCGGGAGCAAUAAUGGUCACGUGUGGCCAGACGAGAGUACCGUACGAAUAAGCAUCGGCUAACUCCGUGCCAGCAGCCGCGGUAAUACGGGGGAUGCAAGCGUUAUCCGGAUUUAUUGGGUUUAAAGGGUGCGUAGGCUGUGAGGUAAGUCAGCGGUGAAAUGCCCCCGCUCAACGGGGUGAAGUGCCAUUGAUACUGCCUUGCUGGAAUGCGGAUGCCGU